rnacentral:siRNA from 1 species
UAGAUGGACAUGUUGAAUGGAUC